GUGCCAGACUCCUACGGGAGGCAGCAGUGGGAAAUAUUGCACAAUGGGCGCAAGCCUGAUGCAGCCAUGCCGCGUGUAUGAAGAAGGCCUUCGGGUUGUAAAGUACUUUCAGUCGGGAGGAAGGUGUCAAGGUUAAUAACCUUGGCAAUUGGCGUUACCGACAGAAGAAGCACCGGCUAACUCCGCGCCAGCAGCCGCGGUAAUACGGAGGGUGCAAGCGUUAAUCGGAAUUACUGGGCGUAAAGCGCACGCAGGCGGUCUGUCAAGUCGGAUGUGAAAUCCCCGGGCUCAACCUGGGAACUGCAUUCGAAACUGGCGGGCUGGAGUCUUGUAGAGGGGGGUAGAAUUCCAGGUGUAGCGGUGAAAUGCGUAGAGAUCUGGAGGAAUACCGGUGGCGAAGGCGGCCCCCUGGACAAAGACUGACGCUCAGGUGCGAAAGCGUGGGGAGCAAACAGGAUUAGAUACCCUAGUACG
rnacentral:rRNA from 1 species